UACGGAGGGGGCUAGCGUUGUUCGGAAUUACUGGGCGUAAAGCGCGUGUAGGCGGCAGCGCAAGUCGGGCGUGAAAUCCCACGGCUCAACCGUGGAAGUGCACUCGAAACUGCGCAGCUAGAGUCCUGGAGAGGAAGGUGGAAUGCUUGGUGUAGAGGUGAAAUUCGUAGAUAUCAAGCGGAACACCGGUGGCGAAGGCGGCCUUCUGGACAGUGACUGACGCUGAGACGCGAAAGCGUGGGGAGCAAACAGG
rnacentral:rRNA from 1 species